rnacentral:rRNA from 1 species
UUCGGGGUGGAUUAGUGGCGAACGGGUGAGUAACACGUGGGCAAUCUGCCCUUCACUCUGGGACAAGCCCUGGAAACGGGGUCUAAUACCGGAUAACACUCUGUCCCGCAUGGGACGGGGUUAAAAGCUCCGGCGGUGAAGGAUGAGCCCGCGGCCUAUCAGCUUGUUGGUGGGGUGAUGGCCUACCAAGGCGACGACGGGUAGCCGGCCUGAGAGGGCGACCGGCCACACUGGGACUGAGACACGGCCCAGACUCCUACGGGAGGCAGCAGUGGGGAAUAUUGCACAAUGGGCGAAAGCCUGAUGCAGCGACGCCGCGUGAGGGAUGACGGCCUUCGGGUUGUAAACCUCUUUCAGCAGGGAAGAAGCGAAAGUGACGGUACCUGCAGAAGAAGCGCCGGCUAACUACGUGCCAGCAGCCGCGGUAAUACGUAGGGCGCAAGCGUUGUCCGGAAUUAUUGGGCGUAAAGAGCUCGUAGGCGGCUUGUCACGUCGGAUGUGAAAGCCCGGGGCUUAACCCCGGGUCUGCAUUCGAUACGGGCUAGCUAGAGUGUGGUAGGGGAGAUCGGAAUUCCUGGUGUAGCGGUGAAAUGCGCAGAUAUCAGGAGGAACACCGGUGGCGAAGGCGGAUCUCUGGGCCAUUACUGACGCUGAGGAGCGAAAGCGUGGGGAGCGAACAGGAUUAGAUACCCUGGUAGUCCACGCCGUAAACGUUGGGAACUAGGUGUUGGC